rnacentral:misc_RNA from 1 species
AAGUCGUAACAAGGUUUCCGUAGGUGAACCUGCGGAAGGAUCAUUAACACGUAUCCAAACGUUAAACCCCCCUGUGAACCUUCAGUGUACUCGUACGUCCGUUAGAAAAAGCAGCAAUAACAGUUUUCGAUUCAGGGACGUCUGCAAGGAGCGUGCAUGUUGUGCGAAGCAAGUGGCCUGGCAUCCCCAAGCAGUUAGUGUCUGAAAGUGUCAUUAACUGUGUAAGGAUGACGCAGUCACGAUCGUUGGAGGCCCACACGGCCGACGACCGGGUCACUGGGCGCAAGCCCCCCUAUAACAAACGCUGCCAAUCGCGGCCGCGAUAAUACGCAGUCGACAAAAAACCGAACAACUGUUAACAAUGGAUAUCUUGGUUCUC